UCAUGGCUCAGGAUGAACGCUGGCGGCGUGCCUAAUACAUGCAAGUCGAGCGAACGGACGAGAAGCUUGCUUCUCUGAUGUUAGCGGCGGACGGGUGAGUAACACGUGGAUAACCUACCUAUAAGACUGGGAUAACUUCGGGAAACCGGAGCUAAUACCGGAUAAUAUUUUGAACCGCAUGRUUCAAAAGUGAAAGACGGUCUUGCUGUCACUUAUAGAUGGAUCCGCGCUGCAUUAGCUAGUUGGUAAGGUAACGGCUUACCAAGGCAACGAUGCAUAGCCGACCUGAGAGGGUGAUCGGCCACACUGGAACUGAGACACGGUCCAGACUCCUACGGGAGGCAGCAGUAGGGAAUCUUCCGCAAUGGGCGAAAGCCUGACGGAGCAACGCCGCGUGAGUGAUGAAGGUCUUCGGAUCGUAAAACUCUGUUAUUAGGGAAGAACAUAUGUGUAAGUAACUGUGCACAUCUUGACGGUACCUAAUCAGAAAGCCACGGCUAACUACGUGCCAGCAGCCGCGGUAAUACGUAGGUGGCAAGCGUUAUCCGGAAUUAUUGGGCGUAAAGCGCGCGUAGGCGGUUUUUUAAGUCUGAUGUGAAAGCCCACGGCUCAACCGUGGAGGGUCAUUGGAAACUGGAAAACUUGAGUGCAGAAGAGGAAAGUGGAAUUCCAUGUGUAGCGGUGAAAUGCGCAGAGAUAUGGAGGAACACCAGUGGCGAAGGCGACUUUCUGGUCUGUAACUGACGCUGAUGUGCGAAAGCGUGGGGAUCAAACAGGAUUAGAUACCCUGGUAGUCCACGCCGUAAACGAUGAGUGCUAAGUGUUAGGGGGUUUCCGCCCCUUAGUGCUGCAGCUAACGCAUUAAGCACUCCGCCCUGGGGAG
rnacentral:rRNA from 1 species